GACGAACGCUGGCGGCGUGCUUAACACAUGCAAGUCGAACGGAAAGGCCCUGCUUUUGUGGGGUUCUCGAGUGGCGAACGGGUGAGUAACACGUGAGUAACCUGCCCUUGACUUUGGGAUAACUUCAGGAAACUGGGGCUCAUACCGGAUAGGAGCUCCUGCUGCAUGGUGUGGGUUGGAAAGUUUCGGCGGUUGGGGAUGGACUCGCGGCUUAUCAGCUUGUUGGUGGGGUAGUGGCUUACCAAGGCUUUGACGGGUAGCCGGCCUGAGAGGGUGACCGGCCACAUUGGGACUGAGAUACGGCCCAGACUCCUACGGGAGGCAGCAGUGGGAAAUAUUGCACAGUGGGCGGAAGCCUGAGGCAGAAACGCCGCGUGCGGGAUGACGGCCUUCGGGUUGUAAACCGAUUUGGAAUGUGACGAAGCGUGAGUGACGGUAAUGGGUAAAGAAGCACCGGCUAACUACGUG
rnacentral:rRNA from 1 species